rnacentral:rRNA from 1 species
AAUUUCCUGGAAACAGGAAAGUUGCUUCAUUAGAGGAGCCUGGGGGACAGGUGCUGCAUGGGCUGUCGUCAGCUCGUGUCGUGAGAUGUUGGGUUAAGUCCCGGCAACGAGCGGCAACCCUUGCCUUUAGUUGCCAUCAUUUAGUUGGGCACUCUAGAGGGACUGCCGGUGUCAAACCGGAGGAAGGUGGGGAUGACGUCAAGUCCUCAUGGCCUUUAUGACCAGGGCUACACACGUACUACAAUGGCAUGUACAAAGGGCAGCCACAGGGCGACCUGGAGCGAAUCCUCAAAACAUGUCUCAGUCCGGAUUGGAGUCUGCAACUCGACUCCAUGAAGUUGGAAUCGCUAGUAAUCGUAGAUCAGCAUGCUACGGUGAAUACGUUCCCGGGCCUUGUACACACCGCCCGUCACACCACGGGAGUUGGUUGUACCAGAAGUAGUUGAGCGAACUUUUCGGAGACGCAGGCUACCAAGGUAUGGUCGGUAACUGGGGUGAAGUCGUAACAAGGUA